rnacentral:lncRNA from 1 species
GAAGAGGCAGAAGAGGGAGACCAAGUGUACUUGUACAGACCAUUCUCCUCUUUACCAAGAUCUAGAAGCCUCUUCAGAAAAAGGUCCUGUAACAGGUAAAGAAGACAUGAAGUUGGUGUGAACAGAACCAAACAAUUUAAUUAUUUCAUCAGCUUGUGAACAGAAAUCAAAUUAUGUUUGAAAGAAGGGACAAGGAGCACAUUGUG